rnacentral:rRNA from 1 species
UACGUAGGGUGCAAGCGUUGCUCGGAAUCACUGGGCGUAAAGGGCGCGUAGGCGGCCUGAUCAGUCGGGGGUGAAAGCCUGUGGCUCAACCACAGAAUGGCCUUCGAUACUGUCGGGCUUGAGACCGGAAGAGGUAAGUGGAACUGCGAGUGUAGAGGUGAAAUUCGUAGAUAUUCGCAAGAACACCAGUGGCGAAGGCGGCUUACUGGUCCGGAUCUGACGCUGAGGCGCGAAAGCGUGGGGAGCAAACAGG